rnacentral:lncRNA from 1 species
AGCAACAGAGACUUUAUUGGUUUUUUUGUUUAUGUUUCAGAGAUGAGGUCUUGCUCUAUUGCCCAGGCUGAAGUGUACUGGUGCGAUCACAGGUCACUGCAGCCUCAGCCUCCCGAGCAGCUGGGACUACAGGUGCAUCCCAUCAUGCCCAGCUACUUUUUUAUAUUUGUUUGUAGAGCUGGGGUCUCACUGUGUUGCCCAGGCUGGUCUCAAACUCCUGGGCUCAAGCAAUUCUCCCGCCUUGGCCUCCCAAAGUGCUGGGAUUACAGGCGUGAGCCACUGCAGCCAACAACAGAAUUGUGUCGCCUCCCAGCUCUGGAGGUUGGAAGUCCAAGAUCAAGGUGUUGUCAGGGUUGGUUCCUUCUGGGAGCCUUCAGGCAGAAUCCGUUGCAGGCCUGUCUCCUGGCUUCUUUUGGUCAUUAACUGGCAAUCUUCCCUGGCUUCUAGAAGCAUCACUCUGAUCUCUGCCUUCAUGGUCACAUGGUCUUCUGUGCAUGUCUGUGUCCAGGUUUCUCCUUUGUAUAAGGGCGUCAGUUGUUGGAUUAGGACCCACACUAAUGACCUCAUUUUAACUUGAUUAUCUCUGUAAGGACUCCAGAUGUUCCCAACACAGUCACAUUUGAGUUAUCAGGAGUUGGGACUUCAACAUAUCUUUUGUAUUUUUGACAUGGGGUCCCACUCUCUUGCCCAGGCUAGAAUGCAAUGGUGCAAUCAGAGCUCACUGCAGCCUCAACCUCCUGGGCUCAAGCAACCCUCCCCCUUCAGCCUUCCCAGUAGCUGGGACUAUAGGCACGUGCCACCGUGCUCGGCUAAUUUUUGUGUUUUUUGUGGAGAUGGGAUCGC